GCCCCACUGGCGCAAUGGCUAGCGCGCAAGACUUCUAAUCUUGAGGUUGUGGGUUCGAGUCCCACGUGGGGUU